UACGGAGGGUGUAAACGUUGCUCGGAAUCAUUGGGCGUAAAGCGCACGUAGGCGGCCUGGUAAGUUGGAUGUGAAAGCCCGGGGCUCAACCCCGGAAGUGCACCCAAAACUGCUAGGCUAGAAUCUCGGAGGGGGUCGGAGAAUUCCCGGUGUAGAGGUGAAAUUCGUAGAUAUCGGGAGGAAUACCAGUGGCGAAGGCGCCGACCUGGACGAUGAUUGACGCUGAGGUGCGAAAGCAUGGGGAGCGAACAGG
rnacentral:rRNA from 1 species